rnacentral:misc_RNA from 1 species
AAGAAACCUUGUCACUGUCAUAAAUACAUCAUACACGAGAAGAAAAAUGGGAUUUUAGAUUUUCUGUCCUUGGUGAUGCAAGUAUGGGAUUUAACAAAAAGAGUUUUGGAAAUAGUGAAUACAGCCAACAUAUUCCAACACAUUCUCUUAAAAUAAAGCUAAUGCUUCUAGUCUUCCCCCUCAAGCUCACUUUUUCACUUUGAAAUUAAAGGUGAGAAUGGUGGUUUUUGGCAACUGAACAAAGAGAUACCAUACUUGCAGAUCAAAUUGCUUUGGCUAUUUUCACAAGAAGUAUUGUUGUUGUUCAUUUCAUUUUCUAUCUGGAGGAAAACUUGUGUAAUUGAAUGCUUGUCGACUUAGUAUUUUGCUGACUAAACCAAAG